GAGGGUAUAGCUCAGUGGUAGAGUGUGUGCCUAGCAUGCACAGAGGUUAUGGGUUUAAUACUGGUUACCUCCA
rnacentral:tRNA from 1 species